UACGGAGGGAGCUAGCGUUGUUCGGAAUUACUGGGCGUAAAGCGCACGUAGGCGGAUUGUUAAGUCGGGGGUGAAAUCCUGGAGCUCAACUCCAGAACUGCCUUCGAAACUGGCGAUCUUGAGUCCGGGAGAGGUGAGUGGAACUGCGAGUGUAGAGGUGAAAUUCGUAGAUAUUGGGAAGAACACCGGUGGCGAAGGCGGCUCACUGGCCCGUAACUGACGCUCAUGCACGACAGCGUGGGGAUCAAACAGG
rnacentral:rRNA from 1 species